AAGCGACUGCAUCUUCACGAUCAGGUAUUUUUAGUUAUACAAAGCUCACAGAAGGAUGAUAUUUGAUGAUUCAUCAACUGCAUGAGUUACAGUUUAGGAAUUGUUUUGAAAUUUUGCAUUAACUCAAUCUUUGUGUUGUAACUUUAGAGUCAACUUUUAUUUUUGUAAACCAGCAGAUUUUAAAAUUAUCCUUUCUGCAGAAGCCUUUCUUUGGAUAUAGCAAUGACUUCUCUUUAUGAUUACUGUAAUCCAUACUGCUCUAUAAAUCUUUUAGCAUUUCUCCAUGCUUUUGUAAUAGUGACAUGUUCACAUAUUGUAGAUUCUUUAUUUAGUUUUAUCUGGAGACUUGCAUCAUGUUUCCUUGUGUUGUAAUCAUAGCAAAAUCAACUUAAGACCUGAAUUAGGUUUCCAUGAGGAUUAAUAUGCAACAUAGGCUGCAGAUUUUAAUUCCUGCAAGUAUGCUUACAAACAUGUACGCUAUGUAUCCUUUGUAACUAGAGAGAGAGCUUAUUGUUUGUUAGCUAAGUUGCUGAAAAUAUAUAUCAUCUUUAAUUUCAGUUGUGAAUAGUGGACAAGAA
rnacentral:misc_RNA from 1 species